UGCUUGCACCUGGUGGCGAGUGGCGAACGGGUGAGUAAUAUAUCGGAACGUGCCCUAGAGUGGGGGAUAACGUAGCGAAAGUUACGCUAAUACCGCAUACGAUCUACGGAUGAAAGUGGGGGAUCGCAAGACCUCAUGCUCCUGGAGCGGCCGAUAUCUGAUUAGCUAGUUGGUGGGGUAAUAGCCCACCAAGGCGACGAUCAGUAGCUGGUCUGAGAGGACGACCAGCCACACUGGGACUGAGACACGGCCCAGACUCC
rnacentral:rRNA from 1 species